ACUUGCCACAAAUUCGGAUGGCAGAACCAUCAAGUCACAAUAUCCGGUGCUGGACAAUCACCCAUACUCAGAGGAAGGUCGGGCCCCACCAUAAUGCAUGUGAUGAGUCAUGCCAAACUGCACACGGAGAUACAGGUGAGGAGGAUAGAGAUCAGAGAAGUUAAGUAACUUGCCAAAUGUCACACAAUGAACAAGAGUCGCUAUCUGGACCUAAAUCCACGUCUUUUCUAACAUCGACACCCAUGCUGUUGCAUGACAUCGCACUAAGGAACUACCUAACAAUGCCUGACAUCUACCAUGCUGGAAGCAAAGGUACAAGUCCGGAGGAGUCUGAUGUCAACGCCAGGGAAAGUCCUCUACUGGCAAGUAUGUGACACUGGGAAGACAUCUGCCAACAUACAUUCCCAGCGCCUGAGGCCCAUGUCUUGACAUACUGAGCCAGUGACAGGAGGACACCAAUGAUGAUGCAAUGUCAGAUAACCAAUGGGAAUGAGAGAUGACUGGUAAACCAAGUAAGAAGGCACUGGCAGAGGCAGCAAAGAGGCGUGGUGCUUGCGACAAGGCUGUAGCUUGAA